rfam:Ostreococcus tauri chloroplast, complete genome.
GGACGUGUAGCUUAGUUGGAUAGAGUAUCUGGCUACGAACUAGAAGGUCGGGGGUUCGAAUCCCUCCUCGUCCG